rnacentral:rRNA from 1 species
GACGAACGCUGGCGGCGUGCUUAACACAUGCAAGUCGAACGAUGAAGCCGGAGCUUGCUCUGGUGAAUUAGUGGCGAACAGGUGAGUAACACGUGAGUAACCUGCCCUUGACUCUGGGAUAACUGCGGGAAACUGUAGCUAAUACCGGAUACGACCCUCGGAGGCAUCUCCUGGGGGUGGAAAGAAUUUCGGUCAAGGAUGGACUCGCGGCCUAUCAGCUAGUUGGUGAGGUAAAGGCUCACCAAGGCGACGACGGGUAGCCGGCCUGAGAGGGUGACCGGCCAGACUGGGACUGAGACACGGCCCAGACUCCUACGGGAGGCAGCAGUGGGGAAUAUUGCACAAUGGGCGCAAGCCUGAUGCAGCAACGCCGCGUGAGGGAUGACGGCCUUCGGGUUGUAAACCUCUUUUAGCAGGGAAGAAGCGAAAGUGACGGUACCUGCAGAAAAAGCACCGACUAACUACGUGCCAGCCGCCGCCGUAA